CACGGACGAAGGAGUCUAGCGCAUGCGCAAGCCAGUGACACUUGUCGAAGGUCACAGACGUAAGCGAAAGCAAAGCUCGUCUUCGGACGAGUGACGGAGGAUCUCGGUUCCUGCAAAGGACCGGGCGCACUCUGGGGGUGUCCCGUCUACCUGGCUGCUUCGCGGCUUGCCGAGUUGUGACCGGGUGGGAUGCACCGAGAGCGCAUGUGCUGGGACCCGAAAGAUGGUGAACUAUGCCUGCCCAGGUUGAAGCCAGGGGAAACCCUGGUGGAGGACCGCAGCGGUUCUGACGUGCAAAUCGAUCGUCGGAGGUGGGCAUAGGGGCGAAAGACCAAUCGAACCGUCUAGUAGCUGGUUCCCACCGAAGUUUCCCUCAGGAUAGCUGGUGCUCGAGUGUGACGAGAGUCUCAUCCGGUAAAGUGAAUGAUCAGGGGCCUUGGGGGCGAAACGACCUCAACCUAUUCUCAAACUUUAAAUGCGUGAGAACUUGGGCUUUCUUGAACGAAGCUCAUGCAUGGAUCCAUGAGUGCCCAGUGGGCCCGUCCUGGUAAGCAGGACUGGCGCUGUGGGAUGAACCAAACGCCGGGUUAAGGCGGCCAAAUCUAUGCUGAUCAGACACCAGAAAAGGCGUUGUUUGCUUAAGACAGUAGGACGGUGGCCAUGGAAGUCGGCAUCCGCCAAGAAGUGUGUAACGACAUACCUACCAAAGCAAGCAGCCCUGAAAAUGGAUGCCGCUCAAGCAUUGUGCCGAUACCCGGCCGUCGGGACAGA
rnacentral:rRNA from 1 species